UACGGAGGGUGCUAGCGUUGUUCGGAAUUACUGGGCGUAAAGCGCGCGUAGGCGGCUUUGUAAGUUAGAGGUGAAAGCCCGGAGCUUAACUCCGGAACUGCCUUUAAGACUGCAUCGCUAGAAUCGUGGAGAGGUGAGUGGAAUUCCGAGUGUAGAGGUGAAAUUCGUAGAUAUUCGGAAGAACACCAGUGGCGAAGGCGACUCACUGGACACGUAUUGACGCUGAGGUGCGAAAGCGUGGGGAGCAAACAGG
rnacentral:rRNA from 1 species